AACAAGCCCAGCUGAGGAAGGUUUAACCAGGCCAGGCUCGUUUAUAACCACAACCCAUAUCGGCAAAACCAAAGAAACUUACGACCGAUUGAUUGGUUAGGGUUCUCGGAGAAGAGAACACAGAGCUAAAGAGGGUUUUGGAGCUGAGCUUCAAAGCAACUGGGUUUCCUCUUGACCUUCGCUGGAAAUGAAUCGUAGUUAUGGUUCGUUGAUUUUACAGAGAAGUGACUCUCCUCUGUUCUGAGUUGCUGUGUACUCCUCCGGUUCACACCAUGAAAUCUGGACACAUCAAAAUGGUAGAAAUUGUGGCAAAGACAGGACAAACUUGAAGAUGCCAGCAUUGGUUUUGGUUUCUUUAAUUAAUUAAUCACCUCCACUCUGUUUGAAGAUCUCAUGUCUGUGAGAUGGAA